UGUUUGUAACAACCACAGUUACCGUAUGGUAAUAUGUGGCGGUUGUAUCGUUAUAAAUAUAACAACGGUUAUUUUAGCGCUUCACGCUUCGGCGGGGAAAGCGCAUUCGAAACAAUGUGACAAUCGCGAUAGAGAAAGGAGAUCCCCAUGCAGGUCAGCAGAAGGCAGUUCUUUAAG
rnacentral:sRNA from 1 species